rnacentral:rRNA from 1 species
UUUGAAUUNCCCNUNCGUAACUUGCCGGUUAGAUACCGUCAUCGAAUGAACAGUUACUCUCACUCGUGUUCUUCUCUAACAACAGAGUUUUACGAUCCGAAGACCUUCUUCACUCACGCGGCGUUGCUCCAUCAGACUUGCGUCCAUUGUGGAAGAUUCCCUACUGCUGCCUCCCGUAGGAGUAGGGGGAAUCUUCCACAAUGGACGCANGUCUGAUGGAGCAACGCCGCGUGAGUGAAGAAGGUCUUCGGAUCGUAAAACUCUGUUGUUAGAGAAGAACACGAGUGAGAGUAACUGUUCAUUCGAUNACNGUNUCUAACCAGCANGUCACGGNUNACUACNUGCCANCANCCGCGGUAAUAC